rnacentral:rRNA from 1 species
CCCUUAGAUGUUCUGGGCCGCACGCGCGCUACACUGAUGCAUUCAACGAGUCUAAAACCUGCUCUGAUAGGGGUGGGUAAUCUUUUGAAUGUGCAUCGUGAUUGGGAUAGAUGAUUGCAAUUUUUCAUCUUCAACGAGGAAUGCCUAGUAAACGCAAGUCAUCAGCUUGCAUUGAUUACGUCCCUGCCCUUUGUACACACCGCCCGUCGCUCCUACCGAUUGAAUGAUCCGAGGAAUAUCAUGGAUUGAGGAUGCAAGCAGGUUCGCCUGUCUUCAUCUUCGAGAAGUGAAGUAAAUCUUAUCAUUUAGAGGAAGGAGAAGUCGUAACA